rfam:Loxodonta africana unplaced genomic scaffold scaffold_659, whole genome shotgun sequence.
GCAUUAGUUGUUCAGUGGUAGAAUUCUCACCUUGCAUGCAAGAGACCUGGGUUCGAUUCCCAGCCGGUGCA